rnacentral:rRNA from 1 species
GACGAACGCUGGCGGCGUGCCUAAUACAUGCAAGUUGAGCGAUGAAGAUUGGUGCUUGCACCAAUUUGAAGAGCAGCGAACGGGUGAGUAACGCGUGGGGAAUCUGCCUUUGAGCGGGGGACAACAUUUGGAAACGAAUGCUAAUACCGCAUAACAACUUUAAACAUAAGUUUUAAGUUUGAAAGAUGCAAUUGCAUCACUCAAAGAUGAUCCCGCGUUGUAUUAGCUAGUUGGUGAGGUAAAGGCUCACCAAGGCGAUGAUACAUAGCCGACCUGAGAGGGUGAUCGGCCACAUUGGGAAUGGGAAACGGCCCAAACUCCUACGGGAGGGAGCAGUAGGGAAACUUCGGAAAUGGACGAAAGUCUGACCGAGCAACGCCGCGUGAGUGAAGAAGGUUUUCGGAUCGUAAAACUCUGUUGGUAGAGAAGAAAGUUGGUGAGAGUGGAAAGCUCAUCAAGUGACGGUAACUACACAGAAAGGGACGGCUAACUACGUG